rnacentral:rRNA from 1 species
GUAGUCCGGAUCGGAGUCUGCAACUCGACUCCGUGAAGUCGGAAUCGCUAGUAAUCGUGGAUCAGAACGCCACGGUGAAUACGUUCCCGGGUCUUGUACACACCGCCCGUCAUACCAUGGGAGUGGGUUGCACCAGAAGUGGGUAGUCUAACUUAGGAGGACGCUCACCACGGUGUGAUUCAUGACUGGGGUAAAGUCGUAACAAGGUA